UUACUAUGAUGAUAAAAAAUUUUCAGUUCUGCUUCUGAACCAAAAAUCAAGUGAAGAUAAUCAAAAUUUACCAAAACUCUCUGACAU
rnacentral:snoRNA from 1 species